AAAUAAUAUUAAAAAAAAAACCACUAAAGCAACAUGCAUAUAUUAUAUUAUCCAAACUGCAAGUGUACAAUUUGAGAAGUUUUGAAGUAAUCAAACUCAACAAACCCUUCCCUUUCUUGAAAAACUGGUGACCCAGAAACUGAAACUUUCAAUUCACUCAGUUUAUCUUUGAAAAGUGGAGAUCUUGGAAACCCGAUGGAAGGAAGCAUGUCGUCUUUUGUUUUUGGUGCUACUUGUUAAUUAAUGAUUUAAUCCAGCCAGCCGCCGCAAUUUUAUUGUUGAAUUUAUCAGUACAAAUUUAGGCAGGGGCUGCCGGCGGCGAUUAACGAUCAUUCGCGGCAAAGUGGAGGAGGAGAGGAGGAAAGGGUUGUUUCUGAGUUUAAAAUCAUGUUGAGUGGAUUUGUCUUUUUUUUAAAUAAUAUUUUGUUAAAUAAAACGUGAGUAGAU
rnacentral:lncRNA from 1 species